rnacentral:rRNA from 1 species
ACUCCUACGGGAGGCAGCAGUGGGGAAUAUUGCACAAUGGGGAAACCCUGAUGCAGCCAUGCCGCGUGUGUGAAGAAGGCCUCGGUUGUAAAGCACUUUCAGUAGGGAGGAAGGUAGUGUAGUUAACACCUGCAUAUUUGACGUUACCUACAGAAGAAGCACCGGCUAACUCCGUGCCAGCAGCCGCGGUAAUACGGAGGGGUGCGAGCGUUAAUCGGAAUUACUGGGCGUAAAGCGCAUGCAGGCGGCCUGUUAAGUCAGAUGUGAAAGCCCGGGGGCUUAACCUCGGAAUUGCAUUUGAAACUGGCAGGCUAGAGUCUUGUAGAGGGGGUAGAAUUUCAGGUGUAGCGGUGAAAUGCGUAGAGAUCUGAAGGAAUACCAGUGGCGAAGGCGGCCCCCUGGACAAAGACUGACGCUCAGAUGCGAAAGCGUGGGGAGCAAACAGGAUUAGAUACCCUGGUAGACUGUCA